AGAGUUUGAUCCUGGCUCAGGAUGAACGUUGGCGGCGUGCCUAAUACAUGCAAGUCGAACGGUAGUUAAGCAUUCGUGCUUAAUGAGAGUGGCGAACGGGUGAGUAACACGUAACUGAUCUGCCCUUUAGACUGGGAUAACCUUUGGAAACAGAGGCUAAUACCGGAUGAGCUCGCGGUAGUUAGAGAGCCGUGAGGAAAGGCUUAUGCGCUAAGGGAUGAGGUUGCGGGCCAUCAGCUGGUUGGUGAGGUAAAGGCUUACCAAGGCGAUGACGGUUAGGGGACCUGAGAGGGUGGCCCCCCACACUGGGACUGAGACACGGCCCAGACUCCUACGGGAGGCAGCAGUAAGGGAUAUUGCACAAUGGACGGAAGUCUGAUGCAGCGACGCCGCGUGGGUGAAGAAGGUUUUCGGAUCGUAAAGCCCUUUUCUAUGUGACGAGAGAGGACGGUAGCAUAGGAAUAAGUGUCGGCUAACUACGUGCCAGCAGCCGCGGUAAAACGUAGGACGCGAACGUUAUCCGGAGUUACUGGGCGUAAAGCGCGCGUAGGCGGUUGGUUAAGUUACCUAUGAAAGAUACAGGCUAAACUUGUAUUGGUUAGGUGAAACUGGUC
rnacentral:rRNA from 1 species